rnacentral:rRNA from 1 species
CAUUACCGAAUGUUGCCUUGAUGGGUUGUCGCUGGCUUUGAAACUCAGAGCAUGUGCACGCCUGUCUUGACUUCUAUUCAUCCACCUGUGCACCUUUUGUAGUCUUUUGGGGGCUGGGGAAGCAGAUGCAGCUGUUUUUUAUAGCUGUGCUUGUGAUAACCUCCCACCGAAGGCUAUGUUUUUACAUAUACCACUUAGAAUGUAACAGAAUGUUGUCAAUGGGCACUUGUGGCCUAUAUAAAAUCUAUACAACUUUCAGCAACGGAUCUCUUGGCUCUCGCAUCGAUGAAGAACGCAGCGAAAUGCGAUAAGUAAUGUGAAUUGCAGAAUUCAGUGAAUCAUCGAAUCUUUGAACGCACCUUGCGCUCCUUGGCCAUUCCGAGGAGCAUGCCUGUUUGAGUGUCAUUAAAUUCUCAACCCCACCAGCUUUUGUGGCUGGCCUUGGGGCUUGGAUGUGGAGGUUUUGCUGGCUGCAAGGUCAGCUCCUCUGAAAUGCAUUAGCGGAACCGUUUGCGAUCCGUCACAGGUGUGAUAAUUAUCUAUGCCUAGUGGGUUGCUUUCUGUCUUGUUCAGCUUAUAAUCGUCCUCACGGACAAUUUAUUGAACACUUGACCU